UACGGAGGGGGCGAGCGUUAUUCGGAAUUAUUGGGCGUAAAGGGCGCGUAGGCGGCUGUACAAGUCAAAGGUGAAAUCCCUCGGCUCAACUGAGGAACUGCCUUUGAAACUGUACGGCUUGAGGCCGGGAGGGGGUAGCGGAAUUCCCAGUGUAGCGGUGAAAUUCGUAGAUAUCGGGAGGAACACCAGUGGCGAAGGCGGCGAUCUGGGUCGAUACUGACGCUGAGGUGCGAAAGCGUGGGGAGCAAACAGG
rnacentral:rRNA from 1 species